AUGCAUCAUCUUUAUACCAUUAAUACACGUUUGUUUUGUUAACAAUUAUCUUUAUGAUGUUAAUUAACAAGUGAAGGGCGAUCAAUACAGGGCAUUCUUACACUAAAAUUCUUCUCUAUUAUUCUGCUGUUAUUUGGGACUAUGCAUAAGUUAUUUAAUUAUAUAUUGUAGGUAUUAUAUACAUAUCUGACAGGGAUAAAUUCUGUUUUUUGUUGCUCUAGUCUGAGGACACUGUAACAGGUGCUUUGUACAUGUACUGGGAGAUGGGACCUCUGUGAUAUUGGGAUUACUGGUCGUCAACAGUAGCAUUGGCUUCUUUCUUUGCCUUUUUUUGCUUACAUUUCAAUGAUAUUUCUGUUUGCACAUGAACCUGAUACACAUAUGAUUAUCUCUAGGAGAUAAGUGUAUCUGUAGGAGACAAGUGUAUGAAAUGGUUCAUAAAGCCAAGAAAUGAGUUUCCUGCAUUACAUUAUGGCUCAUUUUCUAAAACGUUUUUGUGCCUACUUUAUGUUUCAGUUAAACAUUUCUAAAUGUACAAAAACCUGGUGUAUAAAUGUAUGUAAUUAUAUCUUAAGAACAUGUAUUAGAAACAGCUCCAAAAAACUAAGAAAUUAAAAUUUAAUUUUGUGUAGAUGACCAUGUACCAUGUACUUGUACAGGUACCAUAAAAAUGAUGCUUAAUCAGACUGUGCAAAGCACAUGUAGUGCUGAUCAUAGCAUUAGCCAUUUUUGUUUUAAAAAUGAACUAACACUGAUAAUGAAUUUAAGUAUUUACAUGUAUUAUUUUAUUUUUCCAAUCUACAGAUCGUGUACAAGUGUUACUGGUUGCUCAUCGUUCUGUCUUCUGUUUCUAAGAACAUGUGAUAAUGCAGAUUUAGUGCAUGCAUUACUAUGAAUAAGUCUUCACUUGUUGAACUGUUCAAUAAACUUAAAAUUUG
rnacentral:misc_RNA from 1 species